AAUCGUCGAGAAAAAUCUAUCGCUACCGAUGUUCAGUACGAACGGACUUGAAAUCGUCGAGAAAAAUCUAUCGGGUCCGAGUAAUCGUCGAACAGUACGAGGAAUCGUCGAGAAAAAUCUAUCGCUACCGAUGAUCAGUACGAACGGACUUGAAAUCGUCGAGAAAAAUCUAUCGCUACCGAUAAAUCGUCGAUCAGUACGCGGAAUCGUCGAGAAAAAAAAUCGAGUCCGAGAAAUCCUCGGUCCGGGCUUGGAAUCAUCGAGAAAAAUCUAUCGCUAACGAGAAAUCGUCGAUCUGCACGCGGAAUCGUCGAUCAGUACAUGCGUCAGUACGAUCAGUACGUGUAUCAGUACGUACGGAUGGCCGAGAAAAAAGUAAGUCCCGAAUCAACUUUUGAUAAUCAUCGUACGGGAUGAAGUUUUUUACGAUCGAAAGUCUUAAAAUUAUGAAAAAAAUACAACGUUCGAGAAAUACUCGAGGAAAAAUCGAUCAGUACGACGGAUCGUCGAUCAGUACGCAUCCGGACGUCCGGAUGGCCGAGGAAAUACUAAGUCCCGAACCAAGUUUUGAAAAUCAUCGUACGGGA